GAUGAACGCUAGCGGCAGGCUUAACACAUGCAAGUCGAGGGGUAGAGGAAGCUUGCUUCCUUGAGACCGGCGCACGGGUGCGUAACGCGUAUGCAACCUACCUUUUACAGAGGGAUAGCCCAGAGUAAUUUGGAUUAAUACCUCAUAGUAUAUAGUCUUCGCAUGUUGACUAUAUUAAAGUUCCAACGGUAAAAGAUGGGCAUGCGUCCUAUUAGCUAGAUGGUAAGGUAACGGCUUACCAUGGCAACGAUAGGUAGGGGUCCUGAGAGGGAGAUCACCCACACUGGUACUGAGACACGGACCAGACUCCUACGGGAGGCAGCAGUGAGGAAUAUUGGACAAUGGGCGCAAGCCUGAACCAGCCAUGCCGCGUGCAGGAAUAAGCUUCUAUGGUGUGUAAACUGCUUUUGUACAGGAAGAAAAAACCCGACGUUUCGUGACUUGACGGUACUGUAAGAAUAAGGAUCGGCUAACUCCGUGCCAGCAGCCGCCGUAACAC
rnacentral:rRNA from 1 species